UUUGGGGUCCUUUGAUUUUUAUGCCACAGAUGUAAUGUACACAGAGUCUGUAGAGUGGGCAGCUGUUUGAGAUUGUGGGGUCGACCGUCUUCACGCUCAGCACCUUCAGUCUCCUUAGUGAUAAGCUCCCACCCGUCUGCCAGUGUUCACACACACUGUGGUGUACUUCACAUGCGUUGUUUUGUCUGUUGUUGUAGUUGUUUAUAAUUGGCUCCUUACUGAUUUAUGUAGUGAGGUGGGGGUGGGCAGGAACGCUACUGAAGAGAGCAUAAGCAGGAGAAACAACCGUGGAAAUCCAUCCGCUCCUGCCGUGCGGGUCUCACCAUGAGGACUUGGGAGCCAGUGCCUUCCCCAGCUGAGCCAUCUUGCUGGUCAAUGAUUCUGUAGCCCUGACCAGGCUUCUACCUCCCUAAUGCCACAAGGGGAUGAUGGGACUAACAAAGAAGCCACAAGCACAGGGAAGUUGAACCAGGAGAAUGAGCACAUCUAUAACCUGUGGUGUUCUGGCCGAGUGUGCUGUGAAGGCAUGCUCAUCCAGCUGAGGUUCCUGAAGAGACAAGACUUACUUAACGUCCUGGCCCGGAUGAUGAGGCCAGUGAGUGAUCAGGUG
rnacentral:lncRNA from 1 species